rnacentral:tRNA from 1 species
GGUAAUAUGGCUGAGUGUAGGCAAUAAACUGUAAAUUUAUUAACGAAUUUAAAAAUUCUUUUACCA